AAAUUAUUUAUGUCGUACUUUUUAGGUUACCUGCUACAAACUCGGUUACACGACAUUUUCCCGAAAACUAGAUGAGAAAAUGUUGGUACUAACCAAAUUCUCUAGGCAAUACCGUUUCAAUUUCUGCAGGUUAGUAACACUGUUAAAGUAGUAAAUCCAAGGUUUGCAGAGUCGGUUUUGACGUAUGCGCGCGUAUAUGUCAAACAAUAAAUAUUAUAUAAAUGAUUUAUGACAUUUGAUUUAAUAAAUGAAUAAGAAUUACACAAAUAACUAAAAAUAUAGUGCAUAGAGAUGAACAAGACAAGAUUUAUGAUUGAAAUCUGGUUUUCCAUAUUAAAAUCAUUGUCAGCCGAGAAACAAAAUCUGUGCAAGAUAAAAUAGAAACAUAAA